AUAAACGUAGAGAGAUUCUAGUAAAUUCUAGUAAUAGAACACUUUUCUGAUCAACCACCAUCUGUUCCAAAAUCCUGGAACAGAGGCGGAGGUGAGCUUCAGCCUCCCAAAUAAUGGUGAAAAAUAAACAAGUCCUGCUGGCUGUUAUGUGGCUUCAGCUAAGCUGUGUAAGCGGCAAAAACAAAGUGCAGCAGAGUCCUCAGUACCUGAGGGCACAGGAAGGAGAAUCUGUCACCAUCCACUGCAGCUACUCCACAGGAAUGACCACCUUACGAUGGUGGCAGCAGCUUCCCUGGGGCGGCAUCGUCUCCUUGUUCACGCUGAGCCUGGAGAUGAAGAGGAAAGGGAGGAUGAGUGCCACCAUAGACACCAAGGAAAGCCACAGCUCUCUGCACAUCACCGCCUCCCAGCCCGGAGACUCGGCUACCUAUCUCUGUGCCGUGGAGCACGAUGCUACCCACGCACCUGCAGCCAACACACAAACUCAAAAGGCCCCGUUUCUUUCUGUCUAUCCUUGAAGAGAAGAAGUGUUUUCAGUUUUUAAAAUAGAACAGUCUCCCCAUGCAGAUUCUCUAUAACAGCAACACCAAAGAAAAUGAGUUUCACCCUGGAAUUAAAACGCACAGACACUG